rnacentral:lncRNA from 10 species
UUAAAAUAAAAAUGUGAUUACUUUUAUAUUGAUGUUAAAACCAAUGCAAACAAUUCUGCAUUUUAAUGAAUACAUAUGUGUGUGUGUGUCUGUUUAAAACAAAUUGGAAGAACUCAUAGGACUGUGUGCUAAAACUGUAUGUAAAUUAAACUUCAAUACAUGGCUUAAAAAAUAGACUGGGAAGACAGCAGUGGUUAAUUUUACAUGUCAAAUGUAAAAAUGACUGGGCCAGAAAGUGUCCAGAUAUUUGGUCAAACAUUAUUGUGGAUGUUUGAAUAAUAGAAUAACAUUUAAUGAGAUGAACAUUUGAAUCCAUAGACUGAAUUCAGCAGAUUGCCUUCACCCUGGUAGAGGUGGAGGUUGGCCUCAUCCAGUCUCUUGAAGGCCUAACUAGAACAAAAAAGCCAGCUCUCCCCUGAGUAAAAGAGAAUUUCUCCUCCCUGACUGCCUUCAAAAUGGGACAUUGGCUUUUUUCCUGCCUUUGGACUCAAACUGAAACAUCACCUCUUUCUGGGUGUAGAGCCUGCCACCUUCACAUUGGAACUAUACCAUCAGCUCUCCUUGGUCUCCAGCUUGCCAACUCACCCUGCAGUUCCUGGGACUUUCCCACCUGCAUAAUCAUGUGAUAUUACAUAUAUUAUAUAUAAAAUAUACAUAUAACAUGAGUAAAUUAGUAUAUAUAUUAUAUAUAUACACAUUAUAAUGCAACAUAUAUAUACUAUAUAUACAUUAGUAUAUUGUAUAUUUGCAUCAUACAAUAUCCAGAACAUAAAAAGAAUCCAUUAUUAAGUAAAAGAUAAGCAGUCCAAUAGAAAAACAAAUAAAAUAAAUAAAUAGAUGAUCCAUGGAAGAGGAAACCUAAAUGACCAUUAAGCCAUCUUUAGUAACAAGAGCAAUGCCAAUUAAACCAGGGUGAGAUUCUAUUUCCCAUCCAUCAGAUUGACAAAAAUUAACAAAUGUAAAAUGUAUAUAUACAUUAGUAUAGACAAUUACAUGUACAAUAUACAUUAGUAUAUAUAAUGUAUAUAUGUUAUAUUUGUUCUAUUUGUUUUUUCCCUCUGUGAAACACUGACCAAUCUCAGUGUAUGUCCUCUGUACAUACACUAAACACCCAGUAGCAGUUGGUUCUUCAGAUACGAAAGGGGAAUGGGAACGGCUACUUAAACUUCAAUAUUUCAUUUCUAUUAUUUAAAAAGGCUGAAACAAACAUAACAAAGUGCUAAUGAUAAUCAUUUCUGGGUUGUGGAUUGACAGCUGUUGUUAUAUCAUUCUUCAUACUUUGCUCUAUUUUUGAAAUUUCUCCAAAAAGGAAUAAACUGCCCUCUAUACAAAAUUCAGAAAGUAAAGUAUAAAUUACUUUUACAGAAAGUAAAAAUUACUCAAGAUUCCACAAUUGUUGACAUUUUGGCGUAUAUAUUUCUAGACCUUUUCUUUACAUAUACAUAGGGCAUACCUGCAUGUAUAUAUACUCCCUCCACCUUAUAAAAAUAGCUGUUUUAUAGCCUGCUUUUAUCAAUCAAGACUCUUAACAAGGCCAGGCAUGGUGGCUCAUGCCUGCAAUCCCAACACUUUGGGAGGCCGAGAUGGGAGGAUUGCUUGAGCCCAGGAGUUCAAGACUAGCCUGGACAACAUGGAGAAACCGUGUCUCUAAAAAAUAAUAAUAAUUUUAAAAUAAUAAUUUUUAAAAAGUCUUAACAGACAUCUUUCCACAUCAAUAUUUUGAAACACUGAAUAAUGUUUUUCAGAGAAUGGUUGAAUUCUAAUUUAUUUAACCAAUCUCUUAUUUAUAGCUAUUUUAGUUGUUUAUAGAUUUGUUUGUUGGGUUUUUCUUUAACAAAUAUUAUUGCAAUGAAAAUCCUCAAAUAUACACAUUUUUAUCUUUUUAUUUCCUUAAGCAUAGAUUCCUAAAGUGAAAUUACUUAAUCAAAGAAUAGCUAUAUUUUAAUCACUUUUGAAACACACUGGCAAGCUACCCUCCCUUCCAGACAGGUUGUCCCAAUUUAUACUUUCCCACACCCUCGCCAACACCCAAAGCUAGACUUUUCAACACUAUCUGGACCAACAUCUCUGUGGCUUUUGUAUUAUCUCCAGGAAGCAUCUAACUUCCUGGAAUUCUUAAUAAAAUCUCAAAUCUUUAACCAAUAACAUAGUUUUU